AUGGAAGCGGAGGACGCAGGCAUCUAUUCCCUCCAGCAAGCGCAAGCUUUUUAUACGUUUCCAUUCCAACAAAAGAUCACUGAAGUUCCUAGUAUGGCACUUAUGAAUGAACAAGAAAUGCCAGCAGAAGUUCCAGCCCCAGCUCCUGCUCAGGAACCCACACAAGAGACUCCAAAAGGAAAACCCAAAACAACAGAACCAAAAACUCCAGUGGAACCCAAAAAACCUGCUGAGGCCAAAAAAUCUGGCAAGUCCACAAAAUCAAAAGAAAAGCAAGAAAAAAUUACAGACACAUUUAAAGUGAAAAGUAGACCAGUUCAAUAGUGUUUCAGAAGCUGAACUUUUGACCAAGACUCUACCAGACAUUUUGACCUUCAAUCUGGACAUUGUGAUUAUUGGCAUAAACCCAGGACUAAUGGCUGCUUACAAAGGGCAUCAUUACCCUGGACAUGGAAACCAUUUUUGGAAGUGGCUGUUUAUGUCAGGGCUGAGUGAGGUCCAACUGAAUCACAUGGAUGAUCACACUUUACCAGGGAAAUAGGGUAUUGGAUUUACCAAUAUGGUGGCAAGGAUAACACCAGGCAGCAAGGACCUUUCCGGUAAAGAAUUUUGUGAAGGAGGACGUAUUCUAGUGCAGAAAUUACAGAAAUAUCAGCCACGAAUAGCAGUGUUUAAUGGAAACUGUAUUUAUGAAAUUUUUAGUAAGGAAGUUUUUGGAGUAAAAGUUAAGAACUUAGAAUUAGGACUUCAACUGCAUAAGAUCCCAGACACAGAAACUCUCUGCUAUGCUAUGCCAUCAUCCAGUGCAAGAUGUGCUCAGUUUCCUCGAGCCCAGGACAAAGUUCAUUACUACGUUAAGCUGAAGGACUUAAGAGAUCAGUUGAAAGUCAGUGAGCGAAACACAGACAUUCAAGAGGUGCAAUAUACAUUUGACCUGCGGCUAGCCCAAGAGGAUGCAAAGAAGAUGGCUGUGAAGGAAGAAAAAUAUGAUCUGGGUUAUGAAGCAGCAUGCGGUGGUGCUUAUAGUGAAAAUCCAUGCAGUAGUGAACCUUGCAGCUUCUCUUCAAAUGGGCUGACAGCUGACAGUGGAGAAUCAACUUUCAGUGACAUUCCAGAAGGGCAGUGGAUGACCCAGUCAUUUACAGACCAGAUUCCUUCCUUUAAUAAUCACUGUGCGAUGCAAGAACAGGAAGAAGGAAACCAUGCUUAA